ACUGCCCAGUGUCCGCUGGUUCCCUGGACCCAUGGAGCCCCUUCAGAGGAACACAAUGAGAUGCCGACUCAUGCUCUGCACUGACGCCCCCUUGAUGGACUACUGGUGCUGCUCUAGCUGAGUUUUCUGAGAUUCUAGACUUAGGUGACACCCAAUAAUUACCAGGUAAACAGACGGCCAAGAUGCUUAUGUUUCCUUGUACCCAAAGUUCAUACUUUGAACCACCUUCUGACCUAAUCUUCCUACACGGAAGCAAUAGUCCUCUGGUUCUAACCCAAUCCAGGGCUAGGAACCAGAAACAAGUCUGUCCCAAAGCCCUCUGACAUCAUUCACCCUGGCCAGUCUAGAGCUGUUCAAUCUAUAUUUUCUUUCCCACAGAAACUCUAGGUCACUUGCCUAGCAUAUAUGAGGCCUUGGCUUGGAACCCAGUCCAUCCCCCCAACCCCCCCAACCUCCUGUAGCCACCCUCAGCUACAUGAACCAGGUUUCUGAAAGGGAGGCUGGAGCUGCAUGGGAGAAAAUGGUGAGAGAAAUAACGAGACCAAGACAAAGAUUCUGAUCAAGGCCCAAAGUUUACUUAAGAGUCUGAGCUUAUAAAGGGGGGGGGGUUCCCAUCCCCUACCAUGCCAGGAUCUUGUUUUGUCAGGAUAGAGUCAGGAGAACAGGUUCAGCCUCUCAGCAGGUAGCUGCAUCUUGGAGAAAAUGGCAGAGGUGGCAGAACAAUAGACCUAUCUAUCUAGGUUGGGAGACUCCACCCUAGGUGGUCUUGUUCACAGCGGCACCACUGAGACCAAAUCCAGAGCCAGGUUUCUGCUCUGCAAGUGCUCCACCAUUAAGCAACACCAGCCCCAGCAGGAUAUUUUUUACAGAAUUGAUCCAGCCUUGGUCCAGCUGAGUACUGCUGUUCUUGGUUUAUUUUGUGGCUGUGACAAAUACCUUGACAGAGAGCAGCAUGAUGGAGAAGAGGGUUUGUUUGGCUUACAAUUCCAGGUCACAGACCUUCACUGUGGGAAAGUCAAGGUAGGAACCUGAGGCAGCAAGUCACAUCUGCGGUAGGGAGCAGAGAGAAAUGCAUGCAAGCCUACCUCCUCCACUCUUGCAAAGUCCAAGACCCAAAACCAGGCACGGUACCACCAUCAAUGGGCUGUGUCUUCCCACAUCAACCAGCAUAGUUAAGACUGUUCCCCACAGGUGUGUCCAACCAGACCUAGCUAAUCCCUCACCGAAACUGUCUUCCUAGAUGAUUCUGGACUGGGGUAAGUUGACAUGAACUGUCACACCUUCCUCUCCUAAAACCCUUCAGUGGCUUUCCCUUUGUGUUUGAAUGAAACCCAAGCCUGAUCUCAUCAUCUGUAAUGUAAUUUGUGGAAGGACUGAAUGCCACACGGUGUGAGCAGCCUGCAUCCAGCCUGGCCUUUAACAGGU
rnacentral:lncRNA from 1 species